GUGCCAGCAGCCGCGGUAAUACGUAGGUCCCGAGCGUUGUCCGGAUUUAUUGGGCGUAAAGCGAGCGCAGGCGGUUAGAUAAGUCUGAAGUUAAAGGCUGUGGCUUAACCAUAGUACGCUUUGGAAACUGUUUAACUUGAGUGCAGGAGGGGAGAGUGGAAUUCCAUGUGUAGCGGUGAAACGCGUAGAUAUAUGGAGGAACACCGGUGGCGAAAGCGGCUCUCUGGCUUGUAACUGACGCUGAGGCU
rnacentral:rRNA from 1 species